GCACGCUCCCAGUGUGAUUGUUAUUAAUGGGUUAACCCUUCCACCCCCAGACCCUAGCAAUGUUAUUAAUGGUUUAACCCUUCCACCCCAUACUCCAGCAAUGUUAUUCAUUGGUUAACCCUUCCACACCCAGACCCUAGCAAUGUUAACCCUUUUACCCCCAGUGUUGUGGUUAUUAAUGGGUUAACCCCCCCCCCCCCAGUGUGAUGGUUAUUGGUGGGUUAACCCUUUCACUCCCAGUGUGAUGGUUAUUGGUGGGUUAACCCUUUCACUCCCAGUGUGAUGGUUAUUGGUGGGUUAACCCUUUCACUCCCAGUGUGAUGGUUAUUGGUGGGAUAACCCUUUCACUCCCAGUGUGAUGGUUAUUGGUGGGAUAACCCUUUCACUCCCAGUGUGAUGGUUAUUGGUGGGAUAACCCUUUCACUCCCAGUGU